rnacentral:rRNA from 1 species
CCCUUAGAUGUUCUGGGCUGCACGCGCGCUACACUGAUGCACUCAACGAGUUUACGACCUUGCCCGAUAGGGUUGGGUAAUCUUUUUAAAAUGCAUCGUGAUGGGGAUAGAUUAUUGCAAUUAUCAAUCUUCAACGAGGAAUUCCUAGUAAGCGCGAGUCAUCAGCUCGUGCUGAUUACGUCCCUGCCCUUUGUACACACCGCCCGUCGCUCCUACCGAUUGAGUGCUCAGGUGAAUAAUUCGGACUGCAGCAAUGUUUGGAUCCCGAACGUUGCAGCGGAAAGUUUAGUGAACCUUAUCACUUAGAGGAAGGAGAAGUCGUAACA